GCGCCCGUAGCUCAGCUGGAUUAGAGUACUGCCCUCCGAAGGCAGGGGUCGCACGUUCGAAUCGUGUCGGGCGCGCCA
rnacentral:tRNA from 2 species